rnacentral:rRNA from 1 species
UACAGAGGUCUCAAGCGUUGUUCGGAUUCAUUGGGCGUAAAGGGUGCGUAGGCGGCGCGGUAAGUCGGGUGUGAAAUCUCGGAGCUUAACUCCGAAACUGCAUUCGAUACUGCCGUGCUUGAGGACUGGAGAGGAGACUGGAAUUUACGGUGUAGCGGUGAAAUGCGUAGAUAUCGAGAGGAACACCAGUGGCGAAGGCGAGUCCCUGGACAACUUCUGACGCUGAGGCACGAAAGCUAGGGGGAGCAAACAGG